UCUCCAGAAAUCCUUUCAAGACUUCUUCUGCAAGUGACUUGCGACCAAAGAAGUACCAAAGAAGAUAAAAGCCCCUGGUGAAUUGAGCUGCCGCCACACAGGGUAUCUCAUCAUGUACUGUGUACCAGAGGUACCUGAACUGUUGCCCAUGGAUAGCAGGUAGACGUAAAGACCUACAGAAGACCUUUGUACUUUGCGUCUUUCAUCUGAAGGCCAGAUGGGAUUGUUUAAGCACUGGACACCUGUGUUUAGUUUGUUGCAGUCCAGUGACACGUUUCACUUGCUCAGAGCUUUUCUCUAGAACACUCACGACCAUGUUAAAACAGUUGGAAGGCUGACUUUUCACAGCAGUAUCUAUGCACCACCCACAGCACUGAACCUUUCUUCCUAAUUCUUGUUUAAGUUACGAAGAAGCAAAGAAACAUUUUGCAGUGGAGCGAUGCCAGCUUUCACCACCUGGAUUUGUGUGUUUAAUAUUAAUUAAACUAAGGUAAAUAACACACCGAGAAAAUGAAUACUGAGAAAUUCACCUACCGAUUGUUUCUGGGAUUCCAGUAUACAAUUAUGUAUCAGUUCUUGUUCUACUAAGGGAUCGAUACUAAAAAAUGAUUCUAAGUUAUUUGCCAUCUUUCUAAUGAAAUAUUCCAGUAAAACUGUGGCAGUAUUGUCUUGAUCUUGGACUGAGCUCUCUGUGGCAAAAGCAUGGGUUUAAUUUGAGGGCAAUCAGAUGCUAAUUUUUACGACACAUCUUGUUUAUCUAUGGUAAUUUACUGCAAAAGAAAUUUCAACGGUAGAACGCAAGCAGGAAAAACAAAGCAGUCUGGCUCAAAUUUCCUUCACACUCUUUGAAUAGGGGCUGUACUGAGCAUGUAAAUCAGAUCAGUGGCCUUAAAGAAGCGUUGAGGUCUCUAAAAGGCUCUAAAUGGAGGUAUGUCUUACUAUCCUUGCAUCAUUCCCACAGUCCCACUGGCUAAUGGGACUGAAUUUGGUCUCUUCCUCUGCUCUGUAAUCUAGCUAUAGUCUUGUUCUCUUCCUUUGUGUAUAAUGUGAGGGGACAGAGACACGUUUGUCCUUCUGUUCAAAGCUUCCCCCUUUAUUUUAGCCUCACAACAAUGCCAAGCAAGAAGAGGGCUAUUUGCAACUUAACGAUUCAAAAGGUAACCUGGCAUUGGGGUGAAUGUGGGCACUGCUGCUCUUUUAAAAAACAAGGAGU
rnacentral:lncRNA from 1 species